ACCCUUUUCUGAAAUAUCAACAAACAAUAUUCACUAAUGAUUCCAGGGCAUGCUUACAAGACUUAUCACAUGAACCAACUCCUCAAGACCUCUUGCAUGCACUAGCUCCCAAAGACCUCUAGCCAGGUCCUCAGGACCUCUUCCUAACGGGAGAUUGAUUUUUAGGUAUAAUAUUUUCCCCCCAAAAGCCUGUACUUGAGCUUGAUGAUGAGAGGCUUUUGUUCUUCUAAUUUCAAUCAUCUUGGCCAACUAUAGCUUUCACAUACUUGCUAAGUGUUAGCUCCUUAAAAGAUGACUCAUUUGACACAAAUGACAAAAAAAAAAAAAAUAAUUCACUCUCCCUUUCUUCACCACGUGUUAGCUCCUUAAAAGAUGACUCAUUUUACACAAAUGACAAAAAAAAAAAAAAAAUCACUCUCCCUUUCUUCACCACCAAUGCAUAGAUAACUUUAGACCAUUAGAUAAAAAAGUUAACCUUAUCAUCAAAUGGCUCAAAUCAAAACCCUCAUCUUCUAAAAAUAACACCUCUUUUCACUCAUUUCUUUCACUUUUCUAUCUAUCCCCAAAAAAAAAAAAAAAAAAUUGGUGCUCCAAGACUUCUCCAAGAAUUGAAAACCACAACUAUGUGCGUGUUACCUUCAUCUCAACACUAGAGCUACACCACUUUGUCGGCAACUUGCCAGAAAUUUCAACGCCGCGUGACUUCUCCAUCAACAAGCUUCAUUUGUGCACCGGAUGUAAAAUCGCUCAUGGAAAAAGGCGUGUUUUGUCCUGCUGAUAAAUAUUAAUAUAUAUUAGUGAUGUGGGCCAAUGUCAUUAUAGCAAUGUUAUAUUUUGCUGACAAUAUCUCUGAUUUUACUUAUUGAAUGCCUUGGCGCCAAAUAACAGCUAGACAAUUAAGUAAUAUCAAAUAUUUUGAGUAGGGAUAAAAAUGUAGUCUUGUAAGAUUGUAGAUCAGUGAUGGAUAUAUUAAGUCUAAAAAAAUAUUAAUAACACACAAGUGAUAUGAGGUUGACUAGUUUCAUUAAGACGAUGUUGAAUAAGUAACAUAGAUUCAUACAAAACAUAUUUUUGAUGUAAUGUGUGUAUCUCUGGAAUAAAUAUUACCCAGUCACACCUAUUUUUUUUCCUCCUUCCACCAAAUUUGGCCUAAAGAGGAGAAAAAAACAAAUAAAGAGAAGUAAUAAUUAUGCUCUUAAUAUUUUGUCUCUAAUAUGCUCCUAAUUUAACUUUUUAAUUAAUCAUUAACAUUAUACCUAGUAACAUUUAUGUACAUUUAUAAAUGAAUUAAUAAAAAUAAUAAUAUACUAUAAUUCCAAUAUCAAACUCAUAUUAUAUAGGCUUGAUUUCAAAUGAAGUCUCCCACUAUUGACAAUUCAGUAAUAUCAAAUGUUUUUUGUAGGGAUAAGAAAUAUGUUAUUAUAAAAUUGUAGGUUAGUGAUAGAUAUAUUUAUUGUAAAUAAAUAUUAAUAGCACACAAGUGAUAUGAGGUUGACUGGUUUCAUUUAAAUGAUGUUCAAUAGAUAAUGUAGAUUCAUACGAAGCAUAUUUUUGUCGUAAUGUUAAUUAUCGUUAUGAGUAAUGUGUAUCUAAGGAAUAAAUAUUAAAUUAAUUAUGAGUAAUAUGUUUUGUGUAGUGAUAAAAAUGUAAUAUGAUACAAUUAUAGGUCAUUGAUGGAUAUAUUUAUUCUGAACAAAUGUUAAUAAUGCACAAGUGAUAUGAGGUUGACUGGGUUAAUUUAGACAAUGCUUUGUAAAUAACCUAGAUUCAUACCAAGGUAAUUUGUGUCGUAAUGUUAAUUAUUAUUAUGAGCAAUGUGCAUGUGUGGAAUAAAUAUUAAAUUAAUUGACGUAGUUUUGAGCAUUUUCUACGGUAUUUGUAUAGUUUAGAUUAGAAAGUAUUAACUCUCAUUUAGUAAGCAGUGAAGUAAUUAUUAUUAUUAACAUCUGAAAAAAUAGUGAGAAUUAAUUCAUUUGAUAUAGAAACACAAAACUAACCAUAGUGAGUUAAAACAAGCCGAUGCAGAUCUAUUGUUUUAAUUCAAUCAAUAUUUCACAUUAUGGUAAUAAAUAAUUAUUUCAUUAGAAUGUGGCAAAGUCCCUGAAUUAAAGUCUUACUAACUCGAUUGGAAGGAGUUUUGUGUCGAAUUUUCAUGGUAAUGGAAUUGAAAAAUGUCGUUGUAGUUUGAUUCUGAUGGGGUUGGAAUAUAUGUGUUAUCAUUUGUUGAAGACGAAGGCCCUGCAUGAGUUGUAGAGGGCAUUCCCAACCUUUUUUGCACAUGUACGCCUAUUAUGAUCUCGACCUCCACAAAGUGUGCAUUGCCUACCGCUUUGUACCCAGUCGUUUGAAUGUUGUAAAUUUGAUGCUUUUUUAGAAUUGACCGGGGUACUUAUGCCCUUCGUCCUCACCACUACUGGAUCUUUUAUAAUGCUUAGAUUUUCUUGAUGUGGUGUUGAUGUUUUUGAUGAAGUUGUCUUGCUACUUUGUCCCUGCUCGUAAGCCUCUUUAAACAUGUUCGUCAGCCUUGCAAUCUCAGUCUUUUCCAUUUGGAAUGGGGUGUCGUUUUGUGAUGCAUAAAAGUUCAUUAAGUUGGAAUACAUAUUAAGUGAGCCAAACCUGUGGUUAAGUUGAGGAUGCAGUAUUAAACAUAAUUAGAAUAACAAAAUAAGAAGGGAGAUCUAAACUUGGAUUUUAUUUCUACCUUGACAUUUAAAUCAUCUUUUGACGAUUUGGUUGAUUGUCCAGGGAGUUGUGUUUGGGAAUAAGUCUUGACAUCCUUUCGCCAACGAGUUAAAAUUAGGGAUUCAGG